GUCUUUUUGAAUUUUAAUUUAAAGUCUAGCCUGCCCACUGAAAUUAAUUUUAAUGGCCGCAGUAUUUUGACUGUGCAAAGGUAGCAUAAUCAUUAGUUUUUUAAUUGAAAGCUUGUAUGAAAGGUUGGACGAGGUAAAAUCUGUCUCUAUUUAAUUUAUUUUAGAAUUUAAUUUUUAAGUUAAAAAGCUUAAAUUUUAUUAAAAGACGAGAAGACCCUAUAGAUCUUUAUAAUUUUUUUUAUAAAUUUAAUUAUGAAUUAUUUAGAAUUUAUAAUAUAAAUUAUUUUAUUGGGGUAAUAAAAAGAUUAAAAUAAUUCUUUUUUAUUUUUAACAUUAAUUUAUGAAUUUAAUGAUCCAAUUUUAUUGAUUAUAAGAUUAAGUUACCUUAGGGAUAACAGCGUAAUUUUUUUAGAGAGUUCAUAUCGAUAAAAAAGUUUGCGACCUCGAUGUUGGAUUAAAGAUUAGUUUAGGUGUAGAAGUUUAAAUUUUUGGUCUGUUCGACCAUUAAAUCUUUACAUGAUCUGAGUUCAGACCGGCGUAAGCCAGGUCGGUUUCUAUCUUUAAUAAUUUUAAAAUAUUUUAGUACGAAAGGACCAAAUAUUUAAUAUAUUUAUAUUUUAUUUUUUGAAUAUUAUU
rnacentral:rRNA from 1 species